rnacentral:tRNA from 1 species
GGGCUAUUAGCUCAGUUGGUAGAGCAUACCCUUGAUAAGGGUAAAGUCACUGGUUCAAGUCCAGUAUAGCCCU